UAAGGAAUAUUGGUCAAUGGAGGAAACUCUGAACCAGCCAUCCCGCGUGAAGGAUGAAGGGGCUCUGCCUUGUAAACUUCUUUUGAAUGGGACGAAAAAAGGGGAUUUAUCCUCGACUGACGGUACCAUUAGAAUAAGCACCGGCUAACUCCGUGCCAGCAGCCGCGGUAAUACGGAGGGUGCAAGCGUUAUCCGGAAUCACUGGGUUUAAAGGGUGCGUAGGCGGCUAAAUAAGUCAGUGGUGAAAGGC
rnacentral:rRNA from 1 species